rnacentral:lncRNA from 1 species
GAGGACUUUGAGGACAGGUCAAAUUGUGAGGAUUAGGGAUGGAGCUAAACCAUCGAUCUUCAGCUUUCCCCCUCAUCUACAAAGAGUAGGUUUUAUCGUCACUGGAUUAUAAGGAUUUGAUAGCUUGUCAUUAAAUAGUUAGUGACAUAUAUUUAAUAUUUAUUUUAGCCUGUGGCAACCAGGAAAACAGAGAUUUUCCAAGAGAUCGAACCUCCUCUGCCUAAUGUUGACCACCCCUAUGCAUUGCCUGCAUCUCCCACUGGUCUAAAGACCAGACUCUGUGAAGCCUUGGCUAGAGUGGAGAGUCUAGAGCACGAGUUGAGGAAUGUAAAGGACCGGGAACGGAGGGCAAAGAAGACUGUGUGAUCUUCUAGAGGAUCUGCAGGGAAAGAACCUCAUAAAUGAAGAUCUGAAAGAGAGACUCAGUUUCUACUCUGGUAAAAUGAAAAUAACAUCUUU